AAAUAAAUGAAAUGUUUUUAAGUGGCAGCACAAUAAUAAUGAGUAGGAUUCACCCACAAACAGAAAAGGUCGGUGCUAUGGACUGAUGGGAAAGUAUGAUGAGGACGAACCCAAUCGUCGUGUUUAUGGCAUUUGGUACAAAAGGCGACGUUUAUCCCAUUGCUGCUAUUGCUGCAGCUUUCGCUUCCGAUCAAAAGCAGUAUCAGGUCGCAUUCGUAACUCAUUCCGCGCACCAGGUAAUCUAUGUGUAUAUAUAUGGGUUCCUUUACCCUACAUUAUACACAAAUCAGUUUCUACCUACAACACAGGAUCAAAGAUCGAAGGUCCACUUUGGCAUAGUGUGUUUUUAUUGGAGAUAACAUGAUUCCAUGGAAAAGCAUGAAACAUAGUGUAUUUUCACUUUCAAGCAGAGAGUUGUAUAUAGAGCUAUGAACCAAACAUAGUGUGAUAACCAAGCUGCCUUUCACAUUGCAUCUAACUCGGUCAACUAUUACUUUGUUUGUGGAAAAAUUCAAAAAGGUUUGAUUUCUUCAAGACGUAUGAGAUAUCUGGGGAUCAAUUGGGAAACAUUUUCACAAAGGCAAUUAACAUAGUUAGUAAG